ACCAAUAAUUUUCUUUGCUAAAUUAGUUAUUUUCAAAAUGUUGUUCUUAUUAGUUACUGUUAGCAUAUGGAAAAAACAAAUGGCACCAUAUAUAAGAACCGGUUCAAUAAUACUUCGGUACAGAAGAAGAAGCAGACUAGGCUGAACAGACAGAUAUUUAAGUUUAUGGAUAACUGUGAGUCUCUGACAACAUUUGUAAAUACCUAGAAUGUGCUGAUUGAAGCUGAGAUGUUUAUCCAAUGUAAUGCCCAGAUAUCUGAAAUGCUCCACACUUUCAACCAUCUCUCGGUUAAUGGUAAAACCGGAAGGAUGGAUCUACCACGAUUUCUCCAUGAUGUUUGGUGACAAAGUGUCUCAGAAGUUCCUGGCAAUGUGGUCAAUAUUCUUCAAGCCAAAAAUCAUUGCAGACUGCAAGACUCUUAAGAAUAUGGGCGAGCUGCUGUCAGGAACUGAACCUGAAUCUGAGGACUACAAUGGAUGGGACAGCGAUAUGUCCUCAAUCCUUUUGCAGCUGCAUCUGCUCCCUCUAACCUCAAGAGGCCAGAAAAAAAUAUCCAAGAUCAGUUCAGCUCAAGCAAUCAGCCAUCUUGUGAGCUGUCUUAAGGAAGGAGCCAGUGUGAAUACCUUCAUUGAGAGUGCUGACACAAGACAACCAUUUCUCCUCUGCAUCGAAUACCGCUGCUGGGAAAUUGCCGUUCCCAAGGUUGGACACACGAGGGCAGUCAAGCUCCAUCCAGCACAACACACAACGCCACCUGAAACAGAAGGAAGCUGCCUUAAUCACGAUGAACCCAGGCUACGCAGGCAGGACCGAGCUCCGGGACAACCUGGAGGCCGCUUCAGAUCCGUCUCCAUGAUUGUGCCCGACCACGCCAUCAUCGCAGAGGUGUGCUCGGGUGCCGUCAUUCAUUACGUUAUGUAAUGAACGCAAUAACGGAUGUAUUCUGGCGUGUUACAGAACCGUUUCACGUUGUCUUUUUUGCUGUAGGUGGACUUGUGAGCUGAGGGCUUCAAGUCCAGUGAGACUCUGGCGAAGAAGAUGAUUCAGCUGUAUAAGCUGUGCAGCAAGCAGCUUUCCCGGCAGGACCACUACGACUUCAGCAUGAGAGUCGUCAACUCUGUUAUCGUCAUGGCCGGGUAUGUCCGUCUACGAACAGGGUGAACAUAUUAGGUUAGAUUAGAUUCAUACGCUGUUUUUUCUAAAUUGUUAAUUAAAACUAUCUAUAAAUGUAACAGAUGUCUUGCUGGAAUAAAUCGAGCGUGUGUGUGUGUGUGUUCCAGGUCUCUGAUGCGAGAGAACCCACACCUGAGUGAGAACGUGGUGUUGAUUAGAGCGCUACGAUACUCCAACCUGCCCAAGUUACUCAAGGAUGAUGCAGAACUUAAAAUAAAAUAAAUUGAUAAAUAGUAAAGAACGCCAAAGCUUACAUAUGGAGUAUCAAAGCGGUAUUCUGUCGGACCUCUUUCCUGGUGUGGGCGUCCCCGAGCAUGACUACGGCGCGCUUUAAUCGAACAUCGAGGCAGCUCUAUGCGCCCACUCCCUGCAGCCCGUCUCCAGCAUGACCGCCAAGGUGAUCCAGCUGUACGAGACCAUGCUGGUGCACCAGGGCGUCUUGCUGGUGGGCCCUACAAGAGGCGGUAAGACCACAGCGUACCGUGCCCUCGCUGACGCACUGCGCACCCUCCACGAGACAGAGGGCUGCGAGGUGAAUCCCUUCUACAAGCCCAUCGAGACCGACGUGCUCAACCCACAGUCAGUAAGCUUGGACGAGCUGUAUGGUGAAGACGACCCUCUCACACGGGAGUGGAGUGCCAUCAAACCGUCCCUCGGCAGUGACAUCGCCGACACGCACAAGUGGGUGGUGAGUGAUGUACCUGUGGACGUGCCUGUGGAUUGAGAAAAUUACCCCCGUGUUGGACAACAACAAGACGCUCUGUCUGGCUAACGGUGAAAGGAUCAAGCUCACACCUUCUACACACAUGUUAUUCGAGGUGUUACCCAUCAGAGACAGGUAGCACUGGUCCUAAAAACCAUCACAAACAAGCACAAGCAUGUCAUUUCCAAGAAGAUUUUUUUUUUUUUUUACAUUAAACAUGUUCCUGAUGGAAAGGUCACACACAAACGUAUCUUUAAGACUUCACUCUUUCACACGCCUAUAAUGAGCGAUAAACGCAUUCGAAGCAUGUUAUAAAGCCUCCGUAAUGCAUUACGCAUAGUAUUUAAAUAAAUAUUAUUAUAAUAACAUGCACUACACUACAUUAUGCAUUAUGAAUUCUUAACGUAUUGUUAACACGUCUUUACUGUGAGUGGGAUGAUGACCAGACGCAGGCAGGCUCCCGGGUACUCAUAUCCGUAGACGUACUGAUACAGAGCCAUUCUGGCCACGCACUUAUCCAGAUCCACGUCCCAGUAUUAGCACAGCUGCUUCUGCCACUCAAAGUUACUGCUCGAGUCCAGCUACGUGAACACAUACACAAAGACAUGUGAUAUAUACACAAUCUCAUUGUAUACGAAUUGGGCAUUCUCCCUGAGGAUAUAGCGUGGAUAGUUUAUAAUGAGUGCGUUCAUACUGUAUAAACCUGGGAACUGAUUUGCAUAUGCACUGCUGUUAGAGCUGCAGUUAUUUUUAAAAGAUUUAUUAACAGCUUCUGACCAAUCAGAUCUGACCACACCCAUGAUUCCCUUCGCUCUGAAGAGAAGGUUGUAGCCGUCUGUACCCUUUCAUUGACGAGCUCCGUGACGAUGUCUCUGGCGUGGACAUCCACAGUAAUGAGAGCUGUGAUGAUGCUCUGAUGUAUUUUGGGUAAGUUACCCUGAAACAGAGUGGCCAACACAUUCAGCCUCUGUAUAAACACACACACACGCACAGAGUAAUAUUACAUAGUACACCAUUCACCAUUAUGUCAUGUAAUCAGAGAAGGAAAUCUGAACUACAGUUCCCAGCAGCCACUGCAUCACAGUCACAUGACCACCUGCACCUGGAUCACAUUCCUGGUAAGCACUUGUGUAUUUAGCCAGUUUUCACUGCACUCUUUGUCUCACGUUUGUCCUUCUUUACCUUUGUCCCUGGUGUUGUGUUUUUCUCUUUGGUUUAUGUUUAGUCUUUGCCACAGUGAUUUGCCCCAAUGUCAGUGUCUUUUGUAUUUUGUUUAGUUCUUUAUAAAACUUGAAAAAAUCUGCACUUGCAUCCGUCUCAACCUCCAUAUCGUGACACAAAAAUAUAAAUAUAAUAUAAUAUUAUAUAUAAAAUGUGUGUGGGGGUAUAUAUUAAUAGAGAGAAAGGCAUUUCUUCUCAGGGGGGAGGGGAGUAAUCAAUAGGAAGAAGGAUCUGAGAGGGAACAUGGACAAAAUUAAUGGAACUUUUUCCUGGUUCGGCCCUAAAUUUGGGCCAGAUUAAAUUUCAUCUGUACAAGUUGGACAAUAGGGAUGGGGAACAUAGAUCCAGUACCCUUAAACCCAAUUAGAACUUCUAUUCCAACCAUUAAAACCAUUUUUUAUCUUGAAAUCUAGGGGCUUACCCAAACAAUAAACUCUAAUCACCUAAUUUUUAACCAAUAAAAACUCCUUUUUCUAAUGUUGAAACUUAGGGGCCAACCCUAACCCUGAACUUAACCAUAAGAAACAAAUAAUAUGUUCUCUAAACUGAUCCUCCAACCCCCAAUAGUUAACCUCACCUAGAACGUCUUACAUUUAGACAGAUUUUUUUUUAAAGUCUUUAAUUUAUUUAUUCAUUUUCAUAUGGUUCAUUUACAUGUGAUUCAUUUACGUUGAUUCAUUUUCAUGUGAUUCAUUUUCAUGAGAUUCAUGAAAAUUAUUUUUUUUAAAGUGGCAGAAUUCAUUUUUAACACAA